GGGCCUGUAGCUCAGCUGGUUAGAGCGCACGCCUGAUAAGCGUGAGGUCGGUGGUUCAAGUCCACCCAGGCCCACCA
rnacentral:tRNA from 2 species